GACGAACGCUGGCGGCGUGCUUAACACAUGCAAGUCGAGCGAUGAAGUUUCUUCGGAAACGGAUUAGCGGCGGACGGGUGAGUAACACGUGGGCAACCUGCCCUAUAGAGGGGAAUAGCCUUCCGAAAGGGAGAUUAAUACCCCAUAAGAUUGUAGCUUCGCAUGGAGUAGCAAUUAAAGGAGUAAUCCGCUAUAGGAUGGGCCCGCGGCGCAUUAGCUAGUUGGUGAGGUAACGGCUCACCAAGGCGACGAUGCGUAGCCGACCUGAGAGGGUGAUCGGCCACAUUGGGACUGAGACACGGCCCAGACUCCUACGGGAGGCAGCAGUGGGGAAUAUUGCACAAUGGGGGAAACCCUGAUGCAGCAACGCCGCGUGAGUGAUGACGGCCUUCGGGUUGUAAAGCUCUGUCUUCAGGGACGAUAAUGACGGUACCUGAGGAGGAAGCCACGGCUAACUACGUGCCAGCCGCCGCUGUAACAC
rnacentral:rRNA from 1 species